GAGAAAGGUAUUUUCUAUCUAUAAUACCAUAAAUAGUUUGUUUCUCAAACCGACUCCAGGAAAAAGGGUAGAAUGUCACGUAUCUGAACUUCUGAGUAAUGCCAAAAUAUGCUGAAACAUUUCCCAAAAAAAACAUGUCGUAAGCAUUAAGUCUUAAUUAGAUUUUGUGCUCUGGUGAAGUGUUCUUAAGAUCUGGGGACUGAAACAUUCUUUUAAAGAAGUUUACAGUUUUCUCUUCUAAAUAUUACUCUGCUCACAGACAACGUAUCAAGGAUCCUUUCUCAAGUAUUUUCCGGAAUAACUUCAGUACUAUCAGCAAUUUCUGCUGCUGCCCAGGAGAAGUCUUUGCUUUGAGAGAGUUACGAAAAAGCUCCCACAAUCUUGGUUUAAGAUGAAGUCUGCCUGCUUGUUUUUAUACCGCAGUUGGGUUCAGUGCACUGCACCUACCAGCUGGACUAACGGUUGUCAUCUGAUUGAACACCAAGACUGACCCGGUGAUCUUAAGCUCUCCAGUUUCUCUAGGACAGACCCUCCCUCGCCUGCUUCCAUGAAGAGGUGCACGGUUUCACCCCAUAGGACUGCGCCAUAUAACUCGGCAAUGUUCUCAUGCCGGAAGCAAGCCUGGAUUUCCACAUCGGAUGGCUUAAAUUGAUCUACUGGGAUCUAGAACGCAGAAAUACCAGUAAGAUGCUAACCAACCCAGGACAGUGAAAAAAUAUCUAUAAUAGAGGUCAACCUACAAACUAGAAGGCAAAUAAAUGCCCCCAAGGAUCCCUCAAGGAUCUGCAUGAAAUUAUACUGCCAAGUUCAAAUAAUGUUGACUUCAAACCUGCAUUUACAUUAUGUCCACUUUAGGUGAUGGCCGGGGCCUGGGGGCUUGGGGAAAUAGGUGAAGGUGGUCAAAGUGUACAAACUUGUACAAUUCACGAGAAGAAAAUAACAAAAUAUAAAGUAUUAUUUUCAUUUAAAAUGUAGCAAUCCAACCAAAGAAUUAUCCAUGAUUGAAUCGAAAGGGUGAUAAUUUCCCAUCCAUUUUACAUACACUUUCUACGGCACCUAGAUUUUUAGGCUCUAGCAUCAAUAUUUCAACUUGUCACGAAAUAAUAUGACGUCUUUGGAUCCACAGCUCAUGCUCUAGCACUGGCCAUCUAUUCUAUGGAAAAUCAAAGUUACUAAUAAAGAAAAAAGUAGAUCUUUCAGUGCAGAUGGAAAUGGAAUGUCUCCAAAAUCUAGCGUUAGACAAAGAAAGCAAAAUGCAAAAGUACGUAUUUUAUGCUCCCACUUGUAAAAAACUUUUAAGCUAUACAUACACAUGUCCACAGACAUUUGGAAAGACACAGAACUCAUUAACAGUAGCUGCCUCAGCCAAAGGGGUCUCAUUCUUCAAUCUACAUUCUUUUGAAUCUGCUAGGGGUUGUUAAUCACCCUGUAUGUUCUUAAGACAAAAAAAUACAGCUUAAAAAUUGAAUGUCAGUACUCUGAGAACAACAAAGGUAUUUUUUCAUGCCUUUUCUGACAAAACUGUACAACAGGGCACUUUGGUUCUAAGCUCUUUCUAAAAUGUCCCCAGAUUCUUUUAAGACAACUAAGACAUGUCUCCUCUAAAUGCAACCUUCAAGUGGCUUGUGAUAAUACCUCCGUUUUUCCUUUUGAUAACAGAUACUCUAGCAAAUCUCUAUGAAGGAAUAAAUGAGGCCAGUAUAUUGGUGAGCUUUUAAUUACAAUAACAUAGACUAAGGCCAUAGUCAACAAAUCAAAAGUGACUUCAAUUUAUUGCACUUCUAAAAACCUUUGAAAGUAAAACAGACAUACAAAAAAGCACAAAACUGGUUAACUAGCAAAUUCAACGAAUUUUCAGCAUGUAACCACCACCUGGAUCAAGAAGCAAAACUCUACCGGCACCCCAGGAACCCCUUCCUGACCUCCGCCAGUCACUGCCUCCCAAGGGCACCCGCUAUCCUGACUCCCAGCAGCAUGGAUCUAUUUAGCCUAUUUUGGGCCUUUAUAGAAGUGGAAUCUCACAGAGCAGAUUGCUGUCUGGCUGUUUUGGGUUAAUAUGUCUUUAUGAGUUUCAUCCACGUUACUACAGGUGUAAAUCAUGUGUUCUCUUCACUGUACAGCAUCCCAUUGUAUAAAGAGACCAUGCUGCAACAUCUAGAAACUUUCCAGUUUGGGACUAUUACAAAUAGUGUUCUGAUGAACAUUCUAGUACACAGCUUUUGGUGACCACGUGUACAUGCCUAUGGGGUGUGUACCUAUAGGAGCAGAAUUACUGGGUCAUGGGGUGUGUAUACGUGCCCAGCUUAGGCAGGUACAUGUCCAAAGCAGGGGUACCUCAGUAAUGACCGUUUAAUAACAAGUGAUGGCAUCUUUACAAGAAUUGGCCUAUUUAAGUUCAUCCCUUUAUUAUUUUUUAUUUUCUUUUAAGUUACUAUUUAUUUUUGAGAGAGAGAGAGAGAAGGAGGGAGGUAGGGGGAGGGAGAGAGAAAGAGAGACAGGGCAUUAAUGGGAGGUACAGAAUGAGAGGGAGACACAGAAUCUGAAGCAGGCUCCAGGCUCUGAGCUGUCAGCACAGAGCCCAAUGCAGGGCUCAAACUGAUAAACUAUGAGAUCACGACCUGAGCCCAAGUCAGACACUUAACUGACAGGGCCACCCAGGGGCCCCUAAAUUCAGCCCUUUAAUCUACAGUCUUGAGAAGCCUGGCAGCUUGCCCAGCUUCUGCUUCCCUACCUGGCCCCUUCCCCAGUGGGUGGGAUUAAAGGAGCAGCACACAGAUUUGCUCCUGCAGGAUAGCUCCCCUCCACUCUACCCUACCACAAGAGGGAUGAUGAUAUCCAAGCCGGGUACAGAAGCCAGCGGCAUUUUCUUUUUUAUCAAGGCAAACUAGAGUAAAACCAACUAUGCACUUAAGCAGAGUUAGGGGCUGAACAGCCACAGGCAGCAAGCAAAUCCAAAAGGGGGAAAAAAAAAAAGGAGACAGCAAAAGGAAAAGAGGAUGAAAAAGAGAAAGAGAAAGACGAAGAAAGAGAAAAAGAGAAAAGGUGCCUUUGGACAGGGCACCCUUACAUGAGAUCCAGUCAAAUGGUAACAACUUCUGAGUAAUGCAAACGAGUAAGACCCACAAUACCGAACAUAGGAACAUACCAAUAUGUACAGAGACUAUAUUUAGAGCUGCAGCAAGACAGAGAAAGCAUGUAACAGAAACACAUCCCUGGUCGGACCUGAUCGUAUUUCCACCUACUGGUGAAGAGAGAGAGAGAGAGAGACACGGAAUCCAAAGCAGGCUCCAGGUGCCGAGCUAUCAGCACAGAGCCUGACAGGGGGCUCGAACUCACGGACCACGAGAUCAUGACCUGAGCUGAAGUUGAAUGCUCAACCGACAGAGCCACCCAGGUGCCCCUGUUGGGAGCUAAUUACAAACCAGGCACUGUCCUGCGGCCUCGUCAAAGGCUCACAACGAUCCUGUGAGGGUCCCUGCAAGAUAAUCUUCUGGAAGUCCACGCUGCUCAUCUUUUGCCAGUUCUUCAGCUUACCAAAGCCACCAUUAAGCGCAGACAUAUAAGCACGCUUUGGAUCUCCUCCAGAUCAGUGACGUUCAACAAUACUGGGCCCAGCAGCAGGACUUGAGAAAAACUCUUAGGUAUUUUAAGAAGAAUAAACUCCGUAGGGAGCCUGUGUUUAUGGCUGCUACAAAACGAAUACAACUUAGAAGAGGCAUAUUAUGGGGAACACAGGCAAAGCUGGCUCUUUUCCACUCUGCUGAUCACACAACAAAGGGACUGCCACAUUCAAGUUCUGGGCUGUAAGACAGGCACUGACCCAGGCUUGAGUUCAGAAGGUGCUGCCCAGGUGACAACGACAGUUAAUGAUCCAGUGAGUGACAAGUAGCAGACACAAUGAGAAGUGUUUGGGACAGAGGAGAGAAGAUGUGGGGAACAUUAAAGUUUCAAAAUACUGGAAAGACUGGGUCACCUGGGUGAUUCAGUCGGUUAAGCAACCGACUUUGGCUCAGGUCGUGAUCUCACAGUUCGUGAGUUCGAGCCCCAUGUCAGGCUCUGCGCCACGGAGCCUCGAGUCUGCUUCGGAUUCUGUGUCUUCCUCCCCCUCUCUGCCCCUCCCCGGCUCAUGUUCCGUCACUCUCUCUCUCAAAAAUAAAUAAACGUUAAAAAAAUAAAUAAAUAAAAUAUAGGAAA